AUUCUAUUCAGGGAAGCUACACUUGAUUGCCAAACAGUUAAGCAACUAGUUUUACCAGAAACUUGCGUUCCAAAAGUAAUGAAAGCACUUCACGAUGAUAUGGGCCACCAAGGACGAGAUAAGACACUGUCACUUAUAAGAGAUAGAUUUGUAUGGUAUGGGAUGACAAGAGAUGUGGAUCAGUGGAUAACGCAAUGCAACAGAUGCAUAAGACGAAAAACACCAACUAAUGAAAGAGCACCACUAGUUAGCAUUGAAACAUACCAACCACUUGAACUAGUAUGCAUGGACUACUUGUCACUGGAAAGAUCAAAAGGAGGUUUUGAAAAUGUUCUUGUCAUCACCGAUCACUUUACACGGUAUGCCUUAGCGAUUCCAACGAGGAACCAAACAGCAAAGACUACCGCCGAAGCAUUUUUCAACCACUUUGUAGUACAUUACGGAUUGCCAGAACGUAUUCACAGUGACCAAGGUGCCAACUUUGAAUCGAACAUCAUUAAAGAACUAUGUAACAUCACAGGCAUGCAGAAAUCACGUACUACACCUUACCAUCCUAUGGGCAACGGUACUACAGAGCGUUUCAAUCGAACAUUACUGGGUAUGUUAGGUACACUGGAAACAACACAGAAGAAAGAUUGGAAAGCACACAUUGCUGGAUUAGUACAUGCUUACAACUGCACCAGACAGACAACUACCAGAUACUCACC
rnacentral:lncRNA from 1 species